rnacentral:rRNA from 1 species
AUUGAACGCUGGCGGCAGGCUUAACACAUGCAAGUCGAGCGGGGGAAGGUAGCUUGCUACCGGACCUAGCGGCGGACGGGUGAGUAAUGCUUAGGAAUCUGCCUAUUAGUGGGGGACAACAUCUCGAAAGGGAUGCUAAUACCGCAUGCGUCCUACGGGAGAAAGCAGGGGAUCUUCGGACCUUGCGCUAAUAGAUGAGCCUAAGUCAGAUUAGCUAGUUGGUGGGGUAAAGGCCUACCAAGGCGACGAUCUGUAGCGGGUCUGAGAGGAUGAUCAGCCACACUGGGACUGGGACAAGGCCCAGACUCCUACGGGAGGCAGCAGUGGGGAAUAUUGGACAAUGGGGGGAACCCUGAUCCAGCCAUGCCGCGUGUGUGAAGAAGGCCUUAUGGUUGUAAAGCACUUUAAGCGAGGAGGAGGCUACUUUAGUUAAUACCUAGAGAUAGUGGACGUUACUCGCAGAAUAAGCACCGGCUAACUCUGUGCCAGCAGCCGCCGUAA